AGUGAAUAGAUACCCAGGUAGUCCCAGCUGUAAACGAUGCGCGUUAGGUGUAUCGGUGACCACGAGUCACCGAGGUGCCGAAGAGAAAUCGUGAAACGUGCCGCCUGGGAAGUACGGUCGCAAGGCUGAAACUUAAAGGAAUUGGCGGGGGAGCACCACAACAGGUGGAGCCUGCGGUUUAAUCGGACUCAACGCCGGGAAACUCACCAGAUAAGACAGCUGAAUGAUAGUCGGGCUGAAGACUCUACUUGACUAGCUGAGAGGAGGUGCAUGGCCGUCGUCAGUUCGUACUGUGAAGCAUCCUGUUAAGUCAGGCAACGAGCGAGACCCACGCCAACAGUUGCCAGCUCGUCCUCCGGGAUGGAGGGGACACUGUUGGGACCGCCUCUGCUAAAGAGGAGGAAGGAAUGGGCAACGGUAGGUCAGCAUGCCCCGAAUUAUCUGGGCUACACGCGGGCUACAAUGGGUGGGACAAUGGUAUCGACACCGAAAGGUGAAGGCAAUCUCCUAAACCCAUCCUUAGUUCGGAUUGU
rnacentral:rRNA from 1 species